GCACGUCUAAAGAGUCGUUUGAGUUCCUUUGAUCAUCCACCAGUAAUCUUUUGCCUGAUUUGGGUGUAGUCCUUUGAAGAAUCAACUUCAAAUUCAUUCCCAUCUUGAAGGAACAUUUCUGCAGGAAGAGCUGUUGUUUUGUCUUGUAGCGUAGACAAAAACAGAGUAGUGGAGGUAGUGGUUGUACACUUGUACUUUGUCAACUCUAAUAACGAAGGACAAGUACCCAGUGCUUUCCAAAUGACCGUUGAUACCUCCCUUUCAAUUCUUCGUUCUCUUAGACGAGGUUGAAACGAAAAACAACUCCUUUGAAUCUUCAGUUUAAAUUUACUGAUCACUUGUAGCUUCUGGUGAUGAUAUAGCUUCUGAUGAAAUCUUGCUUCUGAUGGUCUU
rnacentral:lncRNA from 1 species